UUUUAGCUCAGUGGUCGAGCGCAGGCUUUGGAAGCCACAGGUCGGUGGUUCGAACCCGCCAGGGCACAG
rnacentral:tRNA from 1 species